UACGUAGGGUGCGAGCGUUACUCGGAAUUACUGGGCGUAAAGCGCGCGCAGGCGGUCUGUUAAGUCGGAUGUGAAAUCCCCGGGCUUAACCUGGGAACUGCAUUGGUGACUGGCAGGCUUUGAGUGUGGCAGAGGGAGGUAGAAUUCCACGUGUAGCAGUGAAAUGCGUAGAGAUGUGGAGGAAUACCGAUGGCGAAGGCAGCCUCCUGGGCCAACACUGACGCUCAUGCACGAAAGCGUGGGGAGCAAACAGG
rnacentral:rRNA from 1 species